AGAGAGAGACAUGCGCGCAUAUCAAUAAGCGGAGGAAAAGAAACUGAACAAGGAUUCCCUUAGUAACGGCGAGUGAAGCGGGAAGAGCUCAAAUUUGAAAUCUUCAAGGUUCUACCUUGACGAAUUGUAGUUUAUAGAAGUGUUUUCUGUUAGUGGAGUGGCAAAAGUUCUUUGGAAUAGGACAUCAUAGAGGGUGAGAAUCCCGUAUUUGGUCAUUCCUCCUAGCGUUGUGAUACACUUUCAACGAGUCGGAUUGUUUGGGAAUGCAGUCCAAAGAUGGGUGGUAAAUUUCAUCUAAAGCUAAAUAUUGGCGAGAGACCGAUAGCGAACAAGUACCGUGAGGGAAAGAUGAAAAGAACUUUGAAAAGAGAGUUAAACAGUACGUGAAAUUGUCAAAAGGGAAGCGUUUGACACCAGUGUUGUUUUUCCGAAAAUCAAUUACGAAUGUUUUAUUUUUGAGGAGUUAUGACUUCAUCGGCUUGCUCCUUUCUUUACGAAACUUUCUUAAUGCACUUUUCGGUUAACAAGUCAACAUCAAUUUCUUUUGUUGUAAAAGGGUAUGAGGAAGGUGGCUUUCUUUUCGGAGAAAGUGUUUAUAGCCUUGUAGCCUCUGCAAUCGGAGAGAUUGAGGUCUGCAGCGUAGAUCCUUCGGGGUUAGAUACAUUUGUGCUAAGUUAUAGCUUUUCAUAGACAACUUGUUGACUAUGUUAAGUCUUGUAGCUUACUCGCUUAUGCUAUUUUACCUACGCUUAGGAUGUUGAUAGUCACAGCGUGUAC
rnacentral:rRNA from 1 species